UCUAUGGAGGGCUAUGGCAUGUGCCACCUAUUGAGAGAAAUGUGAAAGGCUAGUUGCUGAAAAGGAAAGAAGCAUGGUAGGGUAAACUAGACAAGAAACUAGGAGGACCCUCCAGCAAUAAACACAAUUUGGUGUAUUGUAGACGAACACGCAGCCAACACGGGUAAGGAGUAUGAUAUGCUCGGUGUUGGAGAAACGAUACUAUUUUUUAGGAUCAACAUUGACGUAUUCAAGGUGUAGUGCAAAAGAUCUUUUUGUUACAAGAUGAAUGCAUUUCUUACUAUCCAAAUCUUGGUCUGGACCAACACUCAUCGCAUUUCUUAGCUCAUUGGAUCCCCCUCUGGAAGGCUUGGCCCCUUAAGAUUGAAGACAAGGGAAAGAGAAGACAAACGGCGACAUCUGAAGGAAAUCAAAGUCAUUUAUAUCAGC